GUGGAGGGUGACGCGAGACGAGAGGGCGAAAAGAGACGCGGAGGAAAAAUCCUCGGAGGAGGAGCCAACAGUCAUGGUAAUCUCGUCGAAAUGGAAACAUCGAUAAGAUUGUACCUGCAGCGUCGAACAGCGCACGUGCCAAGUUUUUUCUUCCGCUCGAGUCCAGGAAAACACGUAUAUAUUUAUCGUUGAGAUGCGCAGCGGAAGAAGGGAAUAAAACAGAAUAUUAAAGCAGAACUUUUAGAUUGAGAUAUCACACACAUCGCGAUUUCUGCACCUACGUUCAUCGAUAAACCGCGCUGAUAAAUAAUUCAGAUCUGAAACAUCUAACAAAAUAAUAACAAUCACGUUCCAAAGUAUCAGCCUUUUUGCAAUUUCAGGAUGUCUACUGUCAAAUCUUGUAAACAAGUUCCCUGGAAAGUUCCUGAUCUUCCAGAUAUUUUUGUUCAAAAUUCCAGGUAAAG